rnacentral:rRNA from 1 species
UACAGAGGGGGCAAGCGUUGUUCGGAAUUACUGGGCGUAAAGGGCGCGUAGGCGGCCUUCUAAGUCGAACGUGAAAUCCCCGGGCUCAACCCGGGAACUGCGUCCGAUACUGGAAGGCUUGAAUCCGGGAGAGGGAUGCGGAAUUCCAGGUGUAGCGGUGAAAUGCGUAGAUAUCUGGAGGAACACCGGUGGCGAAGGCGGCAUCCUGGACCGGCAUUGACGCUGAGGCGCGAAAGCCAGGGGAGCAAACGGGAUUAAGAUGA